rnacentral:lncRNA from 1 species
AUCGUUCGCUACUCUCUUGACCCAGAAAACCCCACAAAAUCAUGCAAAUCAAGAGGUUCAAACCUUCGUGUUCACUUUAAAAACACCAGGGAAACCACCCAGGCCAUCAAGGGUGUGCAUAUAUGCAAAGCCACCAAGUAUCUGAAGGAUGACACUUUAAAGAAGCAAGGUGUGCCAUUCCGGCGGUAUAAUGGUGGAGUCAGUAGGUGCACCCAGGACAAACAGUGGGGCUGGACACAGGGUCGGUGGCGAAUUUUUGCUGCACAUGCUUAAAAAUGCAGAGAGUAAUGCUGAACUGAGGGUUUAGACAUAGAUUCUCUAGUCAUUAAACUCAUCCAGGUGAACAAGGCACCUAAGAUGCUCCGACGAACCUACAGAGCUCAUGGCCGGAUUAACCCACACAUGAGUUCCCCCUGCCACAUUGAGAUGAUCCUCACUGGGAAGGAACAGAUCGUUCCAAAGCCAGAAGAGGAGGCUGCACAGAAGAAAAAGAUAUCCCAGAAGGAACUGAAGAAACAAAAACUCAUGGCCCGGGAAUAA